GAAUCCAAAUAAUUCAAUCUCAGGUUGACCCAAGAAUCCAUUUGGAGUCUAAUUAUUUUAUACAAAUGA
rnacentral:sRNA from 23 species